UAUGGAGAUUUGGCCUUUGUCUGGCGGUAAUCAAAAGAAGAAGAAGGAUUUGAUUUGAUAAUCAAUUAAACAACAAAAAUCAUGAAAGCAUUGUGCAUAGACUUCCAUGCGUGAUUGCAGAGAAUUCGAAUUUGAAAUAUUGAUAAGAAAAAUAUCGCUAAGUCAAUAACUAGUUGAUAACUUGAUAAUUCAAUCCAAUUUAAUUAUAGUUAUUUUCAUCAAAAAAAAAAAAUUCAUUUUGUCAUGUUAAAAUUUGACACCCUACAAAAUCACCAAAUCAAUUUUGUUACAAGGACAUAUGAUAAUUACUACAUGGUUAAAGAAAAUAAAAAAAAUUAAUGGCCUUUAAAAAGUUAAGCACAUCUCUGAAUGAGAUGUCAAAAACUCCACAUCAGCAACAACGAUAAAAAAAGACAACAAUGGGGUUUUCCAACCAAAUUGCCAAUUUUUAUGUGACAUGACAUGGAAUGGCAACUAAGGGAGCUUCAAAUCUAUAUUUAGGGAGUAAUAAAUGUUUUUUUUAUAAUUUUUUUUUAUUAUCUUUUGUUUUAAAAAUACUAAUUUCACUUAUGAAAAGUAAAUAAUAGUUUAAAUUUGACGUAUCGAGUGGAGAAAUUUUUUUAUCAAAAGAUCAAUGUGCCACAUAAGCCUUCAAUUCUAAGUUUUAUGUUUAAAAUUGGCAUUUUCUUUGGAGAUGGUCUAAAAUGUUUACAAAGCUAAAGAUAUCACAUCGUUUUUGUCAGCAUUUCUCUUAAUUUCAAAUGGAUACCUCUACAAUGGCACAACACACAUUAUCUAGUAGAUUCUAAUUGUUGUGAGGUGCUACUCAAUACUACAAUUUAGUGGUAUUCCUCUUUAUUUGUAAGUGAGAGGUCUUAGGUUCGAUUCUCGCCACAGAAGAAUAUGAACCACGUUAUUACUAACCCAUUAUGAGACUUAACCCACUCCCUCACUCCCUUAGUGUAGAUAAUAUCCUUAAAAAAAAAAUUUUAAAAAUUGUGCUACUCACAAAUAAUAUAUAGGACGCACGAAAUUAUAUAUGAAAGAUGAUAAUAUCAUUUUAUCAAAAAAAAAAAGUUUGCUACUCACAAAUAAUAUGUAGGUCGCAUGAAAUUAUAUAUGAAAGAUUAUCGUGCUCACAUAAUAAUUCACGAAUUUAUAUAUAUGCAUUUGUUGACCUUAGAAACUACUUAGCCUACCUGGCGCACAAGCUGAAUAGCUAAUGGGCUAGCUACAUCCUUCGGUUCAAUGCAGGGUGUGCCAACUCGAAGAUCAAGCUUGGUCGGUGAGUAAAAUGAAUGUGGUGGUGGUGAAUGCGCUCAACUUCUAUAUCUAGGCAACUGCGGCUGAGGAAGAUACACAUAUCGGCCUCUGGGUUCUAGAACCUGAAUAUAAGGUUGCUUAGUUCACUAUGAAGCUUAUGAUCUCUUGCACCGGGUUCAGCUGCCUCAACUAUAUUUGUAAGAAUAUAAAUGCAUUGAAUCGGUAAAGAACUUUAUAGACACAAAUACUCAAAAGAGAUAAGUGUCUUGAUUGUGAACAUGGUUCGGCCGUCAGAAUGCCGAACUUUGAAGUGUACUUUAGAAUAUCCAAUCAUAAAAAGGUUCGGCUUUCAAUGUGUCGAACUCUAGGUAGCCUGGUAACACCCCAACUCGUCAAGAGGCUAAUGGGAUGACCUCUUCCAACAAAGACUCAUGAAUUCCUUGUUGACAGGGACUUGGAUAGAUAAUUAACCAAACUCGAAACUGAGCUAGUGCUAUUUAUCCAAACUGAAAAUGUCGCCGGUUGUCUCUACAAUGCUGUUUAUUCUAAUUGAAGGUGUCUUGGCAAAGUUCGGAUGUCAGUUUUUUUCUCAAAGUUUUAAGAGUAGUUCACAUAGAAUGAGAAUUUCGUAGGACAAAUUUGUGUGGUGAGUUGAAGAUCUCUUUGUGUUAGAGGAGCACUUGUAUUUAUAAUGUGAACGUACUUUGAUGAACACACUGUGAAUUUGCUGCCAUGACCUGUAAGUACCCAAUAUGUCAUUAAAUAAUAGGAGUAGGAUUAUCUCCCCUCCUAUUCCCAUCUCAUUCCCUCCUCGCCUCUCACACACUCAUUUUUGUCUUAUUGUCUCUAUAUAAAAAUCAAUAUAAGAUGUUAAAGUAGCUUAAUCGUAACCGUUCAAGUAGGAGGAGAAAGAAGAGAAAAGAGAUUAGAUGGGGAAAGAAUUCUCAUGCUAAAUAAUAUUCCUAUGAAUAUUAUUUCAAAGCAAGAAGAGUCAUAUCAUCCCACUGCCAACUGAUGGAUGUAGACUUCUCGCACAUGUUCUAGAAGUCAAGUACAUGUACACAUCUUCGGAUAAAAGGACAUGGAUCCUCUCUGGAUCCAGUUGUCCUAAUCCACCUAGUCAAAUCAUCCAAACCAUUGAAUUUUGA
rnacentral:lncRNA from 1 species